GAUGAACGCUGGCGGCGUGCCUAAUACAUGCAAGUCGAGCGAACGGACGAGAAGCUUGCUUCUCUGAUGUUAGCGGCGGACGGGUGAGUAACACGUGGAUAACCUACCUAUAAGACUGGGAUAACUUCGGGAAACCGGAGCUAAUACCGGAUGAUAUUUUGAACCGCAUGGUUCAAAAGUGAAAGACGGUCUUGCUGUCACUUAUAGAUGGAUCCGCGCUGCAUUAGCUAGUUGGUAAGGUAACGGCUUACCAAGGCAACGAUGCAUAGCCGACCUGAGAGGGUGAUCGGCCACACUGGAACUGAGACACGGUCCAGACUCCUACGGGAGGCAGCAGUAGGGAAGCUUCCGCAAUGGGCGAAAGCCUGACGGAGCAACGCCGCGUGAGUGAUGAAGGUCUUCGGAUCGUAAAACUCUGUUAUUAGGGAAGAACAUAUGUGUAAGUAACUGUGCACAUCUUGACGGUACCUAAUCAGAAAACCACGGCUAACUACGU
rnacentral:rRNA from 1 species